rnacentral:lncRNA from 1 species
AGAUGAUCUUCUGAGCUUUCAAUUUAAUUGCUGUCACUGAAUUGAUAAGAUUAAUUAAGAAAACUAAUUCUGAAUUUCUACCUUCCCUGUCAGAACAGAUUUCUGGUCAAGUCAUAAAAGAUCCAGUCCAUGCUAGGGAUAUUAGUGGUACUAGAAAAGCAUCUUUGAAAACUAUUACUUUCCAAGUAUGUUGUAACUCUAGAAAAGUAUGUAAAACUUUGGAUUGAAAGGCAAUCUUGGGCAAAAUGUUACAUUUUAUUCUGACUCUAUUUUUCUACUGACACUAUUUUUGGUACAAAGAGUUCUUUCUAUUGCAGAAAAUAUAUUUCAGACCCUUUGUCCUUGCCAGACAGCAGUAGAGCAAACAGCUCCCCACCACCACUUUUUUUUUUCUUUUUUUUUUUUUUAACUUAACAAACUAGGAACAUACAGCAGGGAGAUGAGUAAGCAGGCAACAAAGAAAAGCAGGACUUUCAUUACAUGCCAAGAAUAGGGCUCCAUGAACCUCCAUCUUGUCCACCAGUGUCCUGUGAAAGACACCAUGAUGCUGUGGUCGUAACCACCAAUACUAAAAGAAAAUGGAUUGAGAAGGAAAGCAAUUCACAGCAGGAUUCCAGGCACUCCAGGUACCACUCAGCACAUGCCAUGUGAUUUUACAGAGUGGUAGAACUACAGUCUCAGUUCCACAGGCUGGAAAAUAAGAUGGAGAGAGAUUAAACAAUUUCCCCCAGACUGCACUGAAAAUCUGCUUUGAGGAGGUUCAGUUCUCCAGAGCAACAAUCCAAUGCCUUACUCCUGAAUUUUUGAAAAUACAAGAGCAAGUAUUAAAGCUGAAA